GCAUAUCAAUAAGCGGAGGAAAAGAAACCAACAGGGAUUGCCCCAGUAACGGCGAGUGAAGCGGCAACAGCUCAAAUUUGAAAUCUGGCUUCGGCCCGAGUUGUAAUUUGCAGAGGAAGCUUUAGGCGCGGCACCAUCUGAGUCCCCUGGAACGGGGCGCCACAGAGGGUGAGAGCCCCGUAUAGAUGGACGCCUAGCCUGUGUAAAGCUCCUUCGACGAGUCGAGUAGUUUGGGAAUGCUGCUCUAAAUGGGAGGUAAAUUUCUUCUAAAGCUAAAUACCGGCCAGAGACCGAUAGCGCACAAGUAGAGUGAUCGAAAGAUGAAAAGCACUUUGAAAAGAGGGUUAAAUAGCACGUGAAAUUGUUGAAAGGGAAGCGCUUGUGACCAGACUUGCGCCGGGCGGAUCAUCCGGUGUUCUCACCGGUGCACUCCGCCCGGCUCAGGCCAGCAUCGGUUCUCGUGGGGGGACAAAGGUCCCGGGAACGUAGCUCCUCCGGGAGUGUUAUAGCCCGGGGCGUAAUGCCCUCGCGGGGACCGAGGACCGCGCUUCGGCAAGGAUGCUGGCGUAAUGGUCAUCAGCGACCCGUCUUGAAACACGGACCAAGGAGUCAAGGUUUUGCGCGAGUGUUUGGGUGUAAAACCCGCACGCGUAAUGAAAGUGAACGUAGGUGAGAGCUUCGGCGCAUCAUCGACCGAUCCUGAUGUUUUCGGAUGGAUUUGAGUAGGAGCGUUAAGCCUUGGACCCGAAAGAUGGUGAACUAUGCUUGGAUAGGGUGAAGCCAGAGGAAACUCUGGUGGAGGCUCGCAGCGGUUCUGACGUGCAAAUCGAUCGUCAAAUCUGAGCAUGGGGGCGAAAGACUAAUCGAACCAUCUAGUAGCUGGUUACCGCCGA
rnacentral:rRNA from 1 species